rnacentral:rRNA from 1 species
AGUGAACGCUGGCGGUAGGCCUAACACAUGCAAGCCGAACGGCAGCACAGUAAGAGCUUGCUCUUACGGGUGGCGGGUGGCGGACGGGUGAGGAAUACAUCGGAAUCUACUUUUUCGUGGGGGAUAACGUAGGGAAACUUACGCUACUACCGCAUACGACCUACGGGUGAAAGCAGGGGAUCUUCGUACCUUGCGCGAUUGAAUGAGCCGAUGUCGGAUUAGCUAGUUGGCGGGGUAAAGGCCCACCCAGGCGACGAUCCGUAGCUGGUCUGAGAGGAUGAUCAGCCACACUGGAACUGAGACACGGUCCAGACUCCUACGGGAGGCAGCAGUGGGGAAUAUUGGACAAUGGGCGCAAGCCUGAUCCAGCCAUACCGCGUGGGUGAAGAAGGCCUUCGGGUUGUAAAGCCCUUUUGUUGGGAAAGAAAAGCAGCAGGUUAAUACCCCGCUGUUCUGACGGUACCCAAAGAAUAAGCACCGGCUAACUUCGUG